rnacentral:misc_RNA from 1 species
GGACAAACACAACCGAGUUUUCUCACAGCGGCAUUGACAACUUUUUAAAGCCAACUAAAGUGUUAUGCUCGCCGUCCGACCCAGACUCCGGUGUUCCUCCAUGGCCGGCGUCGCUUCUUUUGUCUCAUCUUCAUCGGCUUCAGCAUCAUCUAUAGCUAGUAAAAAAUUCUAUUUUCAAGUCAAUUCCAAUCGGCAGCUCUUCAAUAACAGAGUAUCUCUCACUACGCGAAUCCCUAAUGCCUCCAUUCGGUGCUUCGCUUCCACCUCUGGUCCGACUAGCAAAAUCCUCGUUCAAAAUCCCAUAGUCGAAAUGGACGGUGAUGAAAUGACGAGGGUUAUAUGGAAAAUGAUCAAAGACAAGCUAAUCUAUCCUUAUCUAGAGUUGGAUACAAAGUAUUAUGAUUUAGGUAUAUUGAACCGUGAUGCCACUGAUGACCAAGUUACUGUUGAAAGUGCUGAGGCAACCCUGAAAUACAAUGUUGCUGUGAAAUGCGCUACUAUAACACCUGAUGAGACCAGAGUCAAGGAAUUUGGGCUGAAGUCUAUGUGGAAAAGUCCCAAUGGCACAAUCAGAAACAUUUUAAACGGUACUGUUUUCCGGGAGCCUAUAC